rnacentral:rRNA from 1 species
CCUACGGGAGGCAGCAGUGGGGAAUAUUGCACAAUGGGGGAAACCCUGAUGCAGCGACGCCGCGUGAGUGAAGAAGUAUCUCGGUACGUAAAGCUCGAUCAGCAGGGAAGAAAAUGAAGGUACCUGACUCAGAAGCCCCGGCUAACUACGUGCCAGCAGCCGCGGUCAUACGUAGGGGGCAAGCGUUAUCCGGAUUUACUGGGUGUAAAGGGAGCGUAGACGGGAGGACAAGGCUGGAGUGAAAGCCCGGGGCUUAACCCCGGAACUGCUUUGGAAACUGUGCGGCUGGAGUGCAGGAGGGGUAAGCGGAAUGCGUGGUGUAGCGGUGAAAUGCAUAGAUAUUAGGCGGAACACCGAUGGCGAAGGCGGCUUACUGGACUGUAACUGACGUUGAGGCUCGAAAGCGUGGGGAGCAAACAGGAUUAGAUACCCCUGUAGUC